rfam:Ovis aries breed Texel chromosome 11, whole genome shotgun sequence.
UCCCUGGUGGUCCAGUAGUUAGGACUCCAUGCUUUCACUUCAGAGGGCCCAGGUUCAAUCCCUGGUCGGGGAA